GGAGUGAGCGACUGAGAGGACGACCGGGUGGAUGAAAUCUGGGACUUCAGUUCUCUCUGCAGCCUGCUGAGGUUUUGGGCCACCCGGAGACGCACUGGGGGUCCGGUGAAGAGAAGCACUCGAUAUACACUCGUUAUACAGGCUGGAUAUACAGGCUGGAAAGAUAAGUCUGUUUUCAUGUUUUAUCGAUAUUACUAAGUCUAACAGAGCAACA